rnacentral:lncRNA from 1 species
UCCAACUAAGUGGUUCCAAGUUCGAAACGCACGGACAUCGAUUAAAUUAUGGAGAUCGGAUGCUCCCUACUCGGAUACGAGAUUUGGAAGGACUAUUGGUCCGCUGGUAGCCUCGAUAGUGCCGUGUGUGACGUGCUUACACAGAGAAUUUGUACCGGAGCUCAGAAAGAUAUUCGAAUCGGACUCAUGAAUGGGGAGGGUAUGAAUAAAAUCGGCCGGGAUGCUCAA